rnacentral:lncRNA from 1 species
UAGAAGCCCUAAAAUAUGCACAACCCUAGUUAUUUUCCCUCUUGGAUUGGGCUGAGCCUUAUCCUUGUCAUCCAAGAAUUUGGUGCCGUAAACCCUAAGCCUUUUCUCUUCAAAAUUUGUGAAAACCCUAGCAUAUAAAUACAUCAUUAUGCAGCACAAUUCAGACCACCACCCCUCAUAUAUUUCGCACCACCAUCUACCACAAUUCAUUCUACAUCACAGAAACACAUUCAGCCGCAACCUUGGAGAACAAGAAACUUUGCAUUGGCUUCCAUUGGAGGAGGAGGACCUUGUGCGGCAAGCCACUUACAACCAUUGGACUUCUACGAGUUCUUUCUUCCCUCGUUUCAUUUCCAUGUUUAUUUUACUUUGCUUUUCAAUUAUUAUGAACAUGAGGAACUAAAUUCCUCUUUAGUUAGAGGUGAAUUUGAAGCCAUGGACAUAUGUUUAAUAUGCAUUGAAUUGAUUACCUUCAGUUAUUGUUUCGUAAAACAUGAAUGUGAUUUACUUAUCUGCGUUAUUGAGAACUUAUUCUUGUGUGUUGAUUGAGGAUGCAUACUUAGUUUGCAUGCAGGGAUUUGAUGCUAAAUUAUUAGGGAAUUUUACCUAAUCGUUAUAAACUUAUAAUUAAAAGUAGUGGAGAUUGCUAGUCACAAUCGUGUUAAGUAAAUUCUUAGCAAGAGUAUCAUGCAGUUAAUAGUUACAAUUGCCUUGUCAAUGCUUAUGAUUUUCAUAGAACUUAAUGAUCUUUAAUAUGUAUCUCUAUCAUGUUGUUCAUAUAGGGAACUUGAGAAGAAUAAUUUGGUUGCGAUGCCUGUCCAUUCAAUUCAAUGAAUUUAGGGAAAUCUGAAAGUUAAUUAGUGCAUUCACAAUUAAUUUGGGGCAUUGUCAUUCAUGGUUUAAAGAAACAAUACUGGAAAUCGAUUUAUGUUGCAUAUGUUUCAUGUGUGGAGAAGGAUCCUCUGGCUAAGUUUUCACCAUUCAAAUCACCCAAUUUCAUAUCUAGUUUACUUUGGUUUGCAAUCUGUUUAGUUUAGUUAAAUUUCAUCCAAAUCAAUCCCCUUUUAAUUAAGUGUGUUAGAUUAGUUAGAAACAUGUUCACAUCUGUCCAAUUUAGUGUUUUGAGUCUUACUAGUCUUAAUUUCAUCCAAAUAACUCCCUAGAGUCUGUUUUGAGUCUGUUUGCUAAUAUUGUGCUGUUUAGAGUCUGUUUAGUGUGUUUUGAGUCAUAAGAGUAUAGUUUUGUGUUUUAGAGUUUAAUUUGUGUAAAAGCGGUUUUAGUUAUCCUUGUGGUUGCAGGAUAACAAAAUAGGAUAUAGCCUAAUUCUUUUGGGAUUAAAAUUUAGUAUUGAGUUAUAUUUGGACUCAUGGGUCGUUAUGGUUUAUAUAGUUUGAAUCCUAGACUCAUUCAAAUAGGGAAUAGUGAUAGAACCAUAUUUAUGCGACUUAGUGAGCUUGUUCUUGUGCAUUUACGUUGUGUUUUAUUAGUUAAAUUAGUCUUUUAAACUAUUUUCAUGUGUUUUUAGGUUUUAAGGGCAAAGUACGCAAAGUAGUGCAUUUUGGAGCCUUUUGGAGCAAAAUUGAGCUUGGAAUGGAUAUCACAUGCUUGGAACGAAAGGAAUGGACGAGAUUGAAGGAGUCCUAAUUGAAGUAGGAUUCCUAAUCAACGGAGGAGUCCUAGUCAAAGAUGGAUUCCUAGAAGAAUGAGGAUUCCUACUCAAAUAAGGUUUCCUACUUGAAGUAGGAAAGUUAAGCCUAAAGUUUCCUAAUUUGGGUGGAUCUUUCCUAAACCAAGAUAGCCUUAAGUUCCAGCUAUUUUGAAGGUUUCCUAAGUGUUUUUGGACACAAAGAAAAGGUUCUAGAACACUCCCUAUACCUGCCGCACCAAUUUCAGCAACGAAACUUCUUUUCCUUGCCUUGCAAGGCAUUCUAGAAGCCUUAUCCUUUCUUACCUAUACCUGUUGCACCUUUUGGCCUUUUCCCUUGGGGAUUCUGAUUGUUUAAGCCUUUUUCCUUGUGGAUUUGGAUUUUACAAGUCCAUAUCU